UACGGGGGGGGCAAGCGUUGUUCGGAAUUACUGGGCGUAAAGCGUGCGCAGGCGGAUUUUCAAGUCAGAAGUGAAAUCCCAGGGCUCAACCCUGGAAUUGCUUUUGAAACUGGAUAUCUUGAGUCUCGGAGAGGUUGGCGGAAUUCCCAGUGUAGCAGUGAAAUGCGUAGAUAUUGGGAGGAACACCAGUGGCGUAAGCGGCCAACUGGACGAGUACUGACGCUCAUGCACGAAAGUGUGGGGAUCAAACAGG
rnacentral:rRNA from 1 species